GUGGCUUUGCUUAGGGACUUCCUGCUGCCGAAAUGCUCUUCUCUCCGGUCCAGGAGCUGCUCUUCUGAAUCCUUUGUCUUCAGCUUGGAGUCUUUCCUGGUCCUCCUGACAGGUGGUGGAUUCCUGGAAGGCAGGACUGUCCGAUUCAUCGUGGUGUUCCCAGGCAUGUACCCUGAACACUGGACUUUCACCCCACUUUCCCCCCUUUCCACCAUUGUUUUACUUCAAACUGACCAGGAAGUUCUUCUUAAGAAUGGGUAAGAUUCUCUCUCUUCCCUGGCAUAGAUCAAGGAAGAACAGAAGAAUAAGGACCUGGAAUGAAAGAGGCAACCCAAAUGCAUGGAUGGGGCAAGGAUGCGACCAAGAGACAGGUUAUCUCCCAAAAGUUCUUGAAUCCUUGACUUCCAAGGUGGUGGACAGAGGAGCGAUGCCAUCAGAAUCAUGUUUUACGAGGCUUGCGUGGGAGUCCGGGAGUUGGUGACAAGAGCGCGUGCCCGGAGAAAAGGGUGGAGGCAGCUUCAUUCAAAAGCCUCCGACCCUCCAAAGGGCUUCACCGGGUCAUAGGCGCCACGUAGUUGGCAGGGAAGAGGCCCAGCUUGUUGUGCAGGCGGCCGGUCCACCAGGACGGGUUGGAGCUGUCCAGGACCUCAACCACCUCUCCGCACUGGAAUCCCAGCUCGUCAUCCUCGAGGGCCUCAAAGUCGUACAGCGCCCGGGCCCACCGCACUCGCUGUCAGGGGUGGAAAACAGAGGGGUCCGGCUGAGCCAGGCUGGCCGGGCUGGCAUCGGAACCGCGGGCACAGGGGAGGGGGUGUGCUGGCCCUGGCUCCGAGUCGCAGCCCUCCAUGAGCAGGCUGCCCCGGAGGCUGACAGCCACUCUCCAGAGACAUUUCAAACCCUGCUGCGACUGCGCGCAGACUGGGAGGCAGAGCCCAGAGAACAGCCACGCUGGUCGCCAAGGCCCCAAGAGGAUCCUGGAGAGCUACCCUCCCUGCAUCAAUAGGCGGCUUUUUGUUUUCUUCAGGUGACAAACAGAAUGCAGCGUGCCCACACUAACAGCCCUUGGUUGCCAGUUCCCCUGAGCCAAGAUGGAUCUCCUUCUGCUAGAAUCACAGCCAGGAGACAUGAGGACGGGCCAAGGCCCCACAGCCAACAGAGAACAGCAGGCAGGAUGGCUGUUCCAGGUGGGACCGGCUCCACCUGGAACUCUCGCCUCCCUCCCACCCCCUGCAGCCCCACCUACGGGGUUCGUGCCACCUCUGCGUGGGCUCCGUGCGGUUUGACAUCUCUCCUGGAGGCCCAACAGUUUCUCUACCGACCGCACUGCCUCCUCCAUUGAUGCCGGAGAGGGAAAUCCACGUACCCCGGCCACUUGGAGCUGCACCGGGUCUGUGUGUCUCCGGUGCAUGAGGGCGGCGUUCAUUUCGCUGCCCAUGCCCAGGCCACAGUGCCCGUCGUUUAUGUCCAGGCUGCCUCCACGGCGAUCCUAGAAACAGAUGCAACAGAAGACCCAUCACCACACCGCCAGAAGCAUUCCUCACGGGCUCCCCCAACACCUUGUGCCAAGGUCAUUGGCCCAGCCAGUGCUCCAGGAAGACUUACUGAUGAUGACAAUAGACCCGAGAUAAUGGGGAGGGGGGAGGGUGACAAACAGACCCAGAUUGGGAAGAUGAUGCCAGAUUUCAUUCAUUCAAUCAAGGAACAUCUAUCAGGCACCUACCAUGUGUCUAGCACUGUCCUAAGCACGAGGAUAUGUCACUAGAAAGAGAAGACCCCCGUCUUCAAGGAACAUCGGUUUAGAGGGGGAGCCAUACACAUGUAAGUGAUGGGUGAGCACAGAGAAGUGUCUGAGGCGGCUGGGUAAUCAGGGAUCACCUGCCUCCUAGAGCAGGUGAUAUUUGAAUUCCAGUUUAAAGAGGAAUAGAAUCGACUAGGAAAGGGUGUUUCUGACAGAGGCGACAGCACAUAAAAAGUCUCAAAAGCAUAAGAGAAAACACAGUGGACCAUUCCGGUAACUGGUAAGAGCACUGCUGGAGGGGGCGUUUGCGUGGGGAGUCAGGGGAGGUGGCAGGGUGAGGCUGGCGAGACAGAUAUGGACAACUCACAAAGGUCUUUGUACGCCCUGCUAAGGAAUUUAGGGACGAUGUUAUCUGGCUGUAUUGUCCGUCUCGGUAAGCCGCCUAAAAUCCCAUCUGGAACAAGGCGGGGGAUAAAUAAAUAAAUAAGCAAGGUUCCA